CACAUGCUUUUCAUCACCCGCUCUCACAUCCCAUCUGGGGCCUCUGCUUCCAUCCUACCAUUUCGCAAGCCUGGCCAACUCAAGCUCCGUGUGCUGCACCUAGAGCAGCCCAUCUCUGUGUCAGGGAGGUGAGCUGCUCAGUUGCCAGAGUAUCAACCUGAGCCCAGGACACUGCCAGACUGCUGAGUCAAAGAGGGUUUAGCAGCCCAUUUUCAUAGACAGACAGGUGAGAGGAGGAUGCUGGACAUGGUCCCAGAGACAUGGGGACUCAAGAAACAUGAAGAUCUGUUCACAGCUAAGGGCACAUUUCCAUGCCGAGAAAUCAGGCGUGAGCGCAAGAGUCCUAUCGUCUACCAGAAAAAGAAAUCUUUGGGAGAACUGCAAUCCAAGCAAAUGUGGUGGGUGUGAAGCUUUCAAGAAGUUGGGUCAAGAACAAGGACUGAAAGAGGAGCAU
rnacentral:lncRNA from 1 species